ACGAAUAUAAAGGCUCAACAAGC
rnacentral:siRNA from 1 species